AUUGAACGCUGGCGGCAGGCCUAACACAUGCAAGUCGAGCGGAGCGGCGGACGGGUGAGUAAGGCCUAGGAAUCUGCCUGGUAGUGGGGGAUAACGUCCGGAAACGGGCGCUAAUACCGCAUACUAUCAGAUGAGCCUAGGUCGGAUUAGCUAGUGGGUGUGGUAAAGGCCUACCAAGGCGACGAUCCUUAACUGGUCUGAGAGGAUGAUCAGCCACACUGGAACUGAGACACGGCCCAGACUCCUACGGGAGGCAGCAGUGGGGAAUAUUGCACAAUGGGCGAAAGCCUGAUGCAGCCAUGCCGCGUGUGUGAAGAAGGUCUUCGGAUUGUAAAGCACUUUAAGUUGGGAGGCGUUACCAACAGAAGAAGCACCGGCUAACUCCGUGCCAGCCGCCGCGGUAAUAC
rnacentral:rRNA from 1 species